rnacentral:sRNA from 1 species
CUCUCUUUCUUUCUUUUGAGGAGAAUUGGUUCUCUUGCUCUUGGGGUGGGCUCUGAGCCAUGUGGGACCAAUGCUUAUCAUGUGUUGAAAGAAGCUUUGGCUAAAAGCCAAGCAAGAUAAGUGGCCGAGGAUAGGAGAAGCCGAGGCUUCUAGACUCCCCAGGUCAUUCUUUGAACUUUGUGUGGUCAACAGAAAACUGUCCUAAACUCCCUCCGCACAGACCCCGCCUCUCGAGCGUCAUUCUCCCGUUGUAACCGACACCGUAAAUGCCUAAGAGCAUUCUGCAUCUCUGGCAGGGUAUGAGGUGGUGCUCCUUGCUCCGGAGAUGUUCUCCUAAGCCAUCCAGAUCUUCUCUGCAUAACAGUUUUUCCUAAGCAGCUCUACCUGGAGCAUCUCUGCCUCUGAAUGCCCACAGCCCCUGCUCACUUCCAGAAGCCCCUCUGCAUUCCCGUCCCCUUUCUGAGCACACUAUUUCCUUCCGAGUGUUUUACUUUUUUUUGAUCCUGGCUGCAGCCUAAUGUCUGCUGUUUCCUGCUCUUUCUUCUCCUUGAGUUAACAAGAGGCUGACAAUCAGGAUUUCCCUGUCUCCGAACCAUCAGCGCUCAUCACCAGUGGACUAUGGGGUUCUAGUCCUCUCAUAGAGCUUCUAAAACCCUUGGAAUUUCUAGAUUGAUGUAGAACUCUUGGCUCUGUCUCCACCAUGUCUGCUUCGAUGGUCUCAUGCUUCCUGCCAUGAUGAUAAUGGACUGAACCUCUGACCCUGUAAGCCAGCUCCAGUUAAAGUUUCCUUUAGAAGAGUUGCUAUGGUAACAGGGUCCCCUUCUGCCAGGGUUUGGAGAAGAAACCUGGAGGAUCAGGAUUCAGUUGCUGACACAGGUCAUUCUACCAGGUUACAGAGCAGGAGGAAAAAGGGGAAAGUGGGUAGGGGAAGGUGGAAAAAGGAAAUCUCCAGGCCUGUCCAGUACACUCAUGUUCUUCCUCUCCCUCACUCCCUUCCCCUCCCUCACCAUUUGGACUGACAACCUCCUCCAUACUGUACCUGAGUAAAGAGAACUGCCAACCCCACUUUUCUGGAUGUUUCUGAAGUUAUUUUGUCUUUGAGGUAAUCUGUGGAAGAGGAAAAGAUUUCUAGAACUUAACCUCGUUUUACCUCAGUUUCAUCUGUGUUCUAACUAGCCUCCAUACAGAAAAGCAGAUAUUUUGUGCUCUCCUUCCUAUGUGGCUAGGACUUCACCUCCGUCUUUUGUUCCGUUUCCCAGACCUUUCGCUUAUUUAGCCUUCAUGGAAAAGGGAAAGCAAUGUCGACCAACUUCCAUAAAGGUUAGUCUAACUGCAGUGUGUUGUUUUGUUACGGGCUAAGAGGCUAGGUCUCCUGGAGGCAGUACAUAAAGAAUUUUUACCUUACUUCUAGGGGGGAAAUCUUGAGGGCUAGUGUAUCUAAGAUCAAGAAAGGUGCAGACAGUUUGCAGGAAUAGACUUAAUGCUUUUUUUAGUAAGAUAUUGAGCCCAAAACAUGCUGUUUAAAUCCUUGUUUUGUCUUGAACUCCGACAUGGCAUGGACAGCCAUAUUUGGUAAUUUACUUAGGACAGUGUUAUAUUCUGAG